ensembl:lncRNA
AACAAACAAACAAACAAAGGCGUCUGCUCAGUCACGUGACCGCACGACAACAAACCACAGCAGAGCACGAGUGGAGGGGGGAGGGGCGACAAGAGGAUGGCGACGGUUGGCCGGUUAGUCUGUGAAUGGACAGCAGGCGGCAGAGCGAAGUGACGGAAGUGAAAUGAGAACAGGAGUAGAUGGCGGGAAAGAUGAUGUAGAGGUAAAAUAAGAUAAAAACAAAGCGGGAAAGGAGAACAACAAGCAGAGUGAAAGUAAACCUGUAAUGUGGAGGAAACGGACAGUGAGCGCAGUGUAACCGUGACAACGAGACACGAGGACGGAUUUAAAGUGAUCAUAAAAUCGUCUCCAGACGGUCGUCGUUCGUCCAGUAGGCGGGAUUAAUGCACCUGUAAGCUGAUUUGUCAAAUGCCAUCAAGGCCUGAAGAAGAACGGAGGAGGACAGCACUACUGUGGUAGAGGAGCGUGUGUGUGCAGACAUGGCUGCUGUUGAUGAAGCGGACUGAACUUAGAGGAGAGACACAAACUAAAGUAUCGAUCCCGUCACGUCAGUGUGGAUCUGACACCAACGUCUGUAUCACUUCAUCGAUGCUUGUAUCGAUCCGCUCAGCCUGAGUUGAAGCAGCAAUGAGUUCAGUUCAGUAUCUGAGAGAGUUCAUCAAGGAGAGACUAACUGCUGUUUGUGAAGAAAUCUUCUCAGAGGUUCAAAAACCAUCGUCCAGUAUGAGGAGGAGAUCAACCGUCUGCACAGACUGCUGGAUAUCAGCCGAAACCCAACAUAAACUUACACAUCACAGAUCUACCACAACAUCAUGACUGUAAGGAAGAGGAGGGUCUGGAUGAGCAGCAGGUCUGUAACCAGGAGAGGAACUCCAGUGUGGACCAGGAGGACCCAGAGCCUCCACAGAUUAAAGAGGAACAGGAGGAACCCUGCAGCAGUCAGGAGGGAGAACAGCUUGGACUGAAGCAGGAGACUGAAGGCAUUAUUGUCUGGACUGAUGAAGAGCAGCUCAGAGUGAUGGAGACCAUCUGAAAACCUGUGAUAAAGUUACACAGAAUAGGUAUGUAAAACUGUGAUGUCUUAAUAACACUGAAUAUGACUCACGGGUCUUAAGCAGGUGAUUAAGCUGCUUCCACAUCCUGCAAGAAGCAACCGGGACAGGUGACUACUUUUACAAAUUCUCUUUUUACAUAUCUUUAGGUUACCGACAAAUGAUUGAAUGUAAGCUGCUCUAACUUUGACUCUUUUCUGACACAGGUAGGAUGGACCUUGUCGCUUCACAAGUUGUCGUUUUAAUCCUACAUCCAAAAAAAUCUAAUAAAGAAUUCAUAAGAACUAGUGCGUUGUUUUUAUUAGAUUAUUUUUUUAAUUUCCAAUCAAUCAAUUAAUUAAUAAAAAUGCAGGAGACCGGGCCUUUGCAACUGCUCCGCCAAAAGUUUGGAACAGUCUGCCUCUUGAAAUUAGGAUCUCCAACACUUGACUUGACAUUUUGCACUUGACAAAAUGCAAACUAGGUAAUGGAACCCCUGGUUUCCGUUGCAUCCGGAAGAGCCGUGGUACAUGAGAGUGUUGUAGGUGACGUAGAUAUUUUCAUACGGGUCGUUUUUG